rnacentral:rRNA from 1 species
CCUACGGGUGACAGCAGUGGGGAAUAUUGCACAAUGGGGGAAACCCUGAUGCAGCGACGCCGCGUGAGUGAAGAAGUAUUUCGGUACGUAAAGCUCUAUCAGCAGGGACGAAAAUGACGGUACCUGACUAAGAAGCCCCGGCUAACUACGUGCCAGCAGCCGCGGUAAUACGUAGGGGGCAAGCGUUAUCCGGAUUUACUGGGUGUAAAGGGAGCGUAGACGGCAGCGCAAGUCUGGAGUGAAAUCCCAUGGCUUAACCAUGGAACUGCUUUGGAAACUGUGCAGCUAGAGUGCAGGAGAGGUAAGCGGAAUGCCUAGUGUAGCGGUGAAAUGCGUAGAUAUUAGGAGGAACACCAGUGGCGAAGGCGGCUUACUGGACUGUAACUGACGUUGAGGCUCGAAAGCGUGGGGAGCAAACAGGAUUAGAUACCCGGGUAGUC